CAGAGUAGAAAACAAAGCGUUAAGUGCUGUUUGGAUGGGAUGUUGCCGACAGACGAAGAAAAAAUUUUUCGCGGUUUUGUUUUCGCAUUCGCUGC
rnacentral:ncRNA from 1 species